UCAGCAUAAGUAUCUUGAAUAACGUGUUUGUUUUCUACGUUCGAUGUACUGAAUACAAAUGGAUCGUAUUUAUUAUAAAAAUAUUUAACUGAUAGCACAUGAAAUUCUUUAUAAAAAAAUUAUACAUUGUAUAGUAUCAUAAUUGAAUAUUAUAACAUAUCAUAAUUGAAUAUUAUAACAUAAUUAUAACAUAAAUACAUAUCAUUUCUUCUAUCAUUGAAUGAACAUUGACGAAUAAACUUUCAAUUUCUGAGAAAUUUCAAAUUAUUUCUGUAUAUAAUUGUGAAUUAAUGAGUCAGAUAAAAAAAAAAGAUAUGAAAAAUGUUUCAAAGUUAUAAUGAAGUAUCUUUGAUUCGAAGAAUGUAUAAACUUAUCAGUCAAUGACGAAAUACAAUUUUCGUGAAAUGAAACGAAUAACAUAUAUUCAUUUUCAUUGUUACAAAUAAUUAUUCAGACAACCAGAAGAUUCAUUUGAAAAAUAAGAAACAGAUUCAUAACAUUCCAUCGUAUCAAUCGAUUAUUAUAGAAUUGUAUCAAAUCCUCUAUAUAAAAAUGGCAAUUGGUCAGUUGCCGCUAAAAGACAACUAAAUCUAAAUGUCAUCGUACGUCGAGCAGCAAACGAGUUGUAUUACCAUAAUCUCAUCGCAAAGGCAAGAUUAUAGCCGCGUUUCUAUUCUGCUAAUUCCAUGUUAAACAUUUUUGCUUGAAACGCGAUCUCCCGGAAUUUAAUCUUUUUUAUGCAUAUUAUAUUCGUUUCAGUUAAGUAUGUCUUCUUCAAUUACUACGUCGCGUAACAAUUCUACAAUAGUUGUCAAUUCGUUCGAUCGUUUAUCAAAAGCUUGAAUGACCAAAUAUUCUUUGAUGCUGUCAAAACUGUCGAACAGAAUAGUUCAACAGAAUAGAAUCAAUUUUUACAAUUUUUAAAAUAAUUCAGCGAUAAAAAAAAUCUUUCGUUUGAAUAAUAAAUAAAAUUCAAUAAGUUUAAUUCCUUGUUGUGUAAAUUAUCUUUUGAAAAAUUAAAAAAAUAUGAAUUUUUAAAAAAUCACUGUUAUUAUUUUAGUCAAUAUUAAAUCAUUAUCUACUGUAUAAUAUUUGUUCAUCGAUCGUGCAUACGAGAAACAAGAUAUCUUUUUAAGAUGCAUCCGGGUUGAUUUGCAGAUUUGAAAAAACGGGUCACGUCAAUGGAUCAUUCAUCGA